rnacentral:rRNA from 1 species
CCUAACACAUGCAAGUCGAGGGCAGCACAAGGAGCAAUCUGAGGUGGCGACCGGCGCACGGGUGAGUAACACGUAUGCAACCUGCCUGUAAGCGGGGAAUAACCCGUUGAAAGACGGACUAAUACCGCAUAAUACUAAAUUACUGCAUGGUAAUUUAUUUAAACAUUUAUGGCUUACAGAUGGGCAUGCGCAUGAUUAGCUAGUUGGAGAGGUAACGGCUCCCCAAGGCAACGAUCAUUAGGGGUUCUGAGAGGAAGGUCCCCCACACUGGUACUGAGACACGGACCAGACUCCUACGGGAGGCAGCAGUGAGGAAUAUUGGUCAAUGGACGAGAGUCUGAACCAGCCAAGUCGCGUGCAGGAAGAAUGUCCUUAAUGGAUUGUAAACUGCUUUUGCAGGGGAAUAAAGUGCAUCACGUGUGAUGUUUUGUAUGUACUCUGCGAAUAAGGAUCGGCUAACUCCGUGCCAGCCGCAGC